GUUCUCCUGGAGCUUCUUGGAGGGCUCCACCAGCUUGUGUUUCUUAAAUGGAGGUGAUUCAAAAUGAGGCUGGAGGUGAAUCUGACAGUAAGAAACCAGACAUCGCAGACAGGACUUGACAGCUUUCCGUUUUCUCCCACUGCAGGAAUCACAGGCCACAUCUUCAGGUCCAGCCUCAGAGGAACCAUCAGGAGCAGCUUGGAGUCCACUCCUCUUCACUUCCUCCACUAAACCUGCUAACAUGGUGUUUUUCAUCAGGACAGGCCUGAUGAAAAAGGUCUCUCUGCACUGAGGACAGCUGUAGACCAUCCUCUCAUCCUCAGUAUCCCAGUAGGAGUGAAUACAGCUCAUGCAGAAGCUGUGUCCACAGGAAACAGUCACCGGAUCCUUCAGAAGAUCCAAACAGAUGGAACAAGAGAAAGACUCACGGUCCAGAUGAACUCCUUCCUGCGCCAUUUCAACACUCGCUGUCGACGACUGACUGAGUUUUAUUUCCUGUAAAAAGUGAAACUAUUUAAAGCUCUGGUCUCAACGACGUGUGUAUCAGCAGGAUAUCAGCUCAGCACACCCUGGUUACACCCGUCCUCAAAGUGUAGAUCUGAAGGGGAGAGAAAGAGAAGAGAACAAGAAAGUGAGAGUGCAGAGUGGCGUGAGCUGUGUGAGAGACGAGGGAGGGGAAGAGGAGCGGCGAUGUGAAGUUGAGAGUCCUACAUUAACUUGAACUGGACUUUACAGAACAAACAAACUGGGUUCACCUUUGGGAAAGAAAGUAGUCAACAGCUGCCUCCCCUCAUUCUGCCCUCUUUCUUUUUCUUUCCUCUCUCUCUUCUUCUGAUACUAAGAAAAUCACCAGUCAAGACUUUCAUUUCUCUGAGCUGCACCAUUUAAAGUCCAGUCAGCAAACUGAGAAGUCCCCAUGAACAAAUGAGUCCGAAAAACAAACAGUAAAAAACUGAGACUUAGUUUAAAUGGAGAAAUCCCUCUGGCUAACUUCAGCGACAUGAACCCCAGAAGUUUACGUUUCAGUAGGUCUCAGUUUCACAGUAAAAAGUUGAUGACUCGUUAUGACUUAUUCCUUGAUUUAUGCUUUUUGGGCAGCAUGAUGUCUAACCUCCAGGUCAUUCAGUCUGGGCUAACUGACCUUACACUAAACUAUCAAGAAAAACCGGCGAGGUUCUUUCAGUGACUCAGUUUGAUGAUUUUUAUUGUUUUCACCCACAAUCAGAGACAGAAGCAGCAAUUCUCAUAUAUUUUUUUCAAAGUUCUGAUACUCAUGACAGUGUAACGCUCAUGUACCAAAAGAUUAAGUAUCUCCAUGUUUGUGAAACCUAUACUGAAGUACAAUUCAUCUAAAUGCUCCUCAGUGCUGAUUUUAACAACUCUCCUCCACAACAGGUAACUUUACGACUUAAUUCUUAUAAAUUAAUGACUUUAUUCUUCUCAAUAACUUUAUUCACGAAGAUUUAAAAACGUUUUUUUUUCUUAAUGUGUUCCUCAUACUCCGUUGUUUUUAAGAGAUUAUUGUAGUAAUAAUUAUCUUCAAUCACUCUUCAACCCCCCCCCCCAAAGGAAAUCUCACUCUUAGCUUAGUUCAAAACUUGAGAGCCCUGUAUUCAUGAACUUCUAACUUUAAAGUAGCUAUUUUUACUCUGUACGAUACUUUUUACUUUAGAUAAAAAAAUGAUUUUUUUUAAAAUAUGAAUCAGUCAAAUGUCUUCAAAUGAAUUAAAGUAAUGAACUGCAAUAAACACAGUGAACCUUACUGGUUAAACACAGUGUCAUAGUACCAACAGUAGCAGCUUACUUUACAAGUUAAAUGCUAACAACAGCCAGCUAAGCGCUAGCUAACGCCUGGUUCACACUGGAAGCGCCGCGCGCGGAACGGAAGCGCCGCGCACAGAGUUUCAGAUCGGCGCCCAUGUUAACCUAUGAGACUGUUCACACAGCUUGCGCGCGGAACGGCUCGCGCUCUGGAGCGCGGCUGCUCCGCUUCUCUCUAUUUUUGGCGCGAGCCGCGCGCGCCGAUGUAAAGCUCAACAGAGCAGAUCGGACCAGACAGGAAGUCAGGAAGGAGAUGCGAGAGAAUCCGGUUAAUUUUCAAAAUAAAGUAAAUUUCAAUAAAUUAGAAAAGGAUUUACGGUGUUGCUUGUCGGUCUAUUUUUUUUUACCGAUGAACACACACACCCCUAUAUAAUAAUUUUAAACAAUACUUGAAGAUGCUGCCAAUAUUUAAUUUAUGUAUGACGAAAUAAAAACAUAAAUAAAUAUUGAUAAACCCAUUUUUAAAGCGCUCGUAAGUGUGGAAAACUGGGGGCAGACGGAAACGGCCGAGCACUGCCGGGCUCAGUCGAUGUCUGACCGGCGUGUCAGAGCGCAGCAGAAAGCGCUUCCUGUGUGAAGAGCCAAGCGCGAGCCGGCGCUGCGCGCGGCGCUUCCUGUGUGAACCAGGCGUAAGAAUGCUUAUAAAGUCAGCCUUUCAUGCUAAUCGGGAGCUAGCGAAAAUGCUAACGGAAGCUAGCGGCGCUAAUCAAAUGCUAACCACGGCCGUUUAAUUACACUCUCUAUUUCAACAUUCUCUUAUUACUCUCCCAGGACAAUGAAAUUAGCACCAACACGUUAUAUAUUCAGAGGCUACACAUUGUUAGCAGGUUAUUUCUUACCAAUGGACUGUUCGCUUCUGCCAAACUCGGACACAGCUGCCGUGAUGAGUAGUGAUGCGCGUCCUUCAGUGUCGAGGAAUGAAUGGGGUGUUUCCGCGAAGAGCGCAUUAAGUCUUGCUUCAUGUAGGGGUGGAGCCAAAAAUGAUGACGUCCGAAGCCUCGCUGCCCGGCUGUACCACGUGACUGAUUCACGGGUUUGGCGGAUGAUUUAACAGGCAGCGAAACGCAAUGGAGUCCUCCCCCGCUCACAAUGCAUGGACUCGAGACUUGUUGAAAAGUUGUUUUUAAAUAUAAAUAAAUAUAAGUGAAAUGUUUAUGUUUUACAUGUUGUCCCCGAAAAGAAGUACGAAUAACAAACUAAGUAACACAAGCACAUUCACAUCACAACCCUCUCCAUAAUUUAUGUCCUCUUCUCCUUUUUGACGCUGCAACUGUGUCUUAAAGACAAACACCAUUUUAAUAACUUCACCAUUUCUGUAUGUUUUCACAAACACACGGCCUCACAUCCAUUCAUUCAUUCAAUUCAAAGCUUCGCGCACCAAAGCCUUAACACUGGUAAGUAACACCGGAAGUCCGCGGACUUUUCAAAAUAAAAUGCAGCGCUACAAAACUCUUAAAUAAACUACUCAGGGCUACAGAUAAUCAUUAAAUAAUAUAAGUCUUGACAUAUACACCUUAUAUCUCUGUCAUGAUUUUCCUCUUACUUACAGAAAACCUGAUCCAGCUGCAGGACCAACAUCUGGGACCUGUAACACCUGUAAGUGACCACAUCAUGGAAAUCCUGCAGACCACAUGAAUCCAUGACCCAGACAGACCUGUAACAUGACAUCCAGCAGAAACAGACACAAUAAAGAAAAACAGACGAGGUGAUUUCAGUGACUCAGUUUGAUGAUUUUUAUUGUUUUCACCCACAAUCAGAGACUUGACCACAAUCUGAGCUGAAUCAGAAACAUAAAAACAGUCGGACUAAUGAAUGUGAUUAAUAUAAAAGUGAUUAAAAAGCUCAUAACAACAUGUUGAUCUUACAAAAGUCUCAUUAUUGAUGUCUUUACAAACACACUGAUCCAACAGAAGCAGACAGAAAUAUCCAUCGAUCACAUGAACACAAAUAUUCAGCAAACAGAGAAAGAAACAGAUCAUCUGAAGAGCUUUUGGAGCAGACUGGAAAGACUUUAGACGCUUGGAUUUGGGACAGGAAAUAAGGUUGUCCUUUUUCAUCUUUCUUUCCUCAUUUUGACGUCACUUUUUUCUAAAGUCUCAGACCUUCAACAUCUGCACCAACUGAAGGUGAUUUAAACAAAGAAUCAUCUUGAUGUUGUUGAUAUCAAAAUGAGAAAAUGAGAAAUACAAACAAUCAAAGUUCUCCACAAUCACUGUCCUUAAAGCUGCGACCAAAUCAGCAUCUUUAGAAAAGAAUCAAAAAGCUGAAAUGAAGAACUAAACCCAGAGUUUUUGGUGAGACUGAUCCACAAACAUUUACAAACCAGAACAUUUCAAGAGUUCAAGGAUCUCAGUCCAUGAUUUUGGUCUGAUGGACUCAAAAUUCUCUUUAUUUCAGUUUAAUAAACUCAGCAGAGGCUUGAUAAGACCAGAAUGUGAAAUACCAGGGUAACAUCAGUCCAGCAUGUAGAGGUUCAGUGAAUGUGGUCUGGACUCUGUGGAGGAGAGUCAUGGUUUCAGAGACGCUGUAGAAGGACAGAAUACCUUCUCUGUGAUCCAGGUACACUCCUACUGUGGAGGACUGAGGACCUGAGACAUGAGUGCUGACUUUGUUGUGUACAAAUUGAUAACUGUCUUUAGAACAGAAUAACCUCCAAGAUUUGUCAUUGUCUCCAAAUGAACAUUCCUCUGAGUACCGUGCUCUCCUGAUGGUCUUGUGUGUGACUGCUACACCAACCCCUUUUCCUCCCCAGUCCACCUCCCAGUAACAACGUCCAGUCAGACUCUCUCUACUCAGGACCUGAAGAUAAUCAGUGAAAAAGCUUGGCCUAUCACUAAUAGAAUUUGGUUGGUAUAUAUAUGUUGCUUUUCUGUUUCCAUCAGAUAAUAAUAGAUGUCUGUGUGCUGUGUUUGGAUCCAGUGUGAUUCUUCGUGAAUAUCUUAAGAAAUCAGCUCUGGUCUUGGGUUCUGGUUCUGGUUCUGAAAGUAAAGCAUCCACUUUAGUCACUGCCUGUGAGACGUUUGUCCACGUCUUUGUCAGAAGAUCCUGGAGUUUCUCUCUGACCUUUGACACAGUUGCUGUCACCUCCUCAAAGUAUCUCAGAGGACGGAUGUUGAUCCUGGGUGAGUCUGCAGGUUGACCCCGUUCUGACAGUGAGGGGUAGCUGUGCAGAAACUGGUUGUGGUCCUCUGUGAGUGAGAGCUUCUGCAGAUCAGCAUCUUUCCUCUUCAGCUCAGUGAUCUCCUGCUCCAGUUUCUCCUGAAGGUCUUUGACUCGACUCACUUCACGUUCCUGCUGGGAUCUGACCUGCUGCUCCACCUCAGAGCGGCGUUUCUCCAUCAGACGGAUCAGCUGGCUGAAGAUCUCCUGGCUGUGCUCCACAGCUUUAUCAGCAGAGCUGUUGAUAGCCUCCACCUCCUGUUGGAGCAGCUUCACAUCUUCUUCUCUGUCCUGGAUUCUCUGCUGGAUGUUUUCUCGACUCUUCUUCAGAUCUUUCUGCCUCUCAGUCCUUUCUGCCGCAGCUGAGACUGUGUUGUGACCUUUGUGUUGGUCCAAACAGCAGAGAUGACAGAUAGACUUCUUAUCAGUGCGGCAGAAGAUCUUCAUCACCUCAUCAUGACGAGAGCAGAUGUUCUCCUGGAGCUUCUUGGAGGGCUCCACCAGCUUGUGUUUCUUAUAUGAAGGUGAUUCAAAAUGAGGCUGGAGGUGAAUCUGACAGUAAGAAACCAGACAUUGAAGACAGGACUUGACAGCCUUCAGUUUUCUCCCACUGCAGGAAUCACAGGCCACAUCUUCAGGUCCAGCAACAGAAGGAUCAUCAGGAACAGCUUGAAGUCCGCUCUUCUUCACUUCCUCCACUAAACCUG